rnacentral:rRNA from 1 species
AUUGAACGCUAGCGGCAUGCUUUACACAUGCAAGUCGAACGAGUGGCGGACGGGUGAGUAAUAUCUCGGAACGUGCCCAGUAGCGGGGGAUAACUACUCGAAACAGUGGCUAAUACCGCAUACUAUUGGAUGUGCCCAUAUCGGAUUAGCUAGUUGGUGGGGUAAAGGCUCACCAAGGCGACGAUCCGUAGCUGGUCUGAGAGGAUGACCAGCCACACUGGAACUGAGACACGGCCCAGACUCCUACGGGAGGCAGCAGUGGGGAAUUUUGGACAAUGGGGGAAAGCCUGAUCCAGUCAUCCCGCGUGUAUGAGAAGGCCUUCGGGUUGUAAAGUACUUUUGGCAGGGAAGCGGUAUCUGCAGAAUAAGCACCGGCUAACUACGUGCCAGCAGCCGCGGUAAUAC